rnacentral:rRNA from 1 species
UACGGAGGGGGUUAGCGUUGUUCGGAAUGACUGGGCGUAAAGCGCGCGUAGGCGGAUCGGAAAGUUGGGGGUGAAAUCCCGGGGCUCAACCCCGGAAUGGCCUUCAAAACUCCCGGUCUUGAGGUCGAGAGAGGUGAGUGGAAUUCCGAGUGUAGAGGUGAAAUGCGUAGAUAUCCGGAGGAACACCAGUGGCGAAGGCGGCUUCCUGGACCGACACUGACGCUGAGGCGCGAAAGCUAGGGGAGCAAACGGG